GAGAGAGGCCUAACAGCAAUGAGAACUGCUAAUUCCCACUACCCCGGCUAAAAUCCGAGGCUCACUCG
rnacentral:tRNA from 1 species